rnacentral:rRNA from 1 species
UGGCGGACGGGUGAGUAACACGUGGGUAACCUGCCCAGAAGAAGGGGAUAACACCUGGAAACAGAUGCUAAUACCGUAUAACAACAAGAACCACAUGGUUCUUGUUUGAAAGCUGGCCUUUGUGCUAGUGCUUCUGGAUGGACCCGCGGCGUAUUAGCUAGUUGGUGAGAUAAUAGCUCACCAAGGCAAUGAUACGUAGCAGACCUGAGAGGGUAAUCUGCCACAAUGGGACUGAGACACGGCCCAUACUCCUACGGGAGGCAGCAGUAGGGAAUCUUCCACAAUGGACGAAAGUCUGAUGGAGCAACGCCGCGUGAGUGAAGAAGGGUUUCGGCUCGUAAAACUCUGUUGUUAGAGAAGGACAGCCGUGAGAGCAACUGCUCACGGUAUGACGGUAUCUUACCAGAAAGUCACGGCUAACUACGUGCCAGCAGCCGCGGUAAU